CCUCCUCUAACCUGAGUUAGGUAUCCCUUGAUAGGGAAUCCCAGAUGGGACUACAGGGAAACCAACACAGUGAAGUUACACAACAAAAGCAUUGAAUUCCGGAGUUGUUCUACUGCUAAUGAGCAGUGUGGCCAGGUACAUCAGGUUUUCUUCCUGAAGCAAACUCAGGCAGUCACUGAACACAAAAAGUCCUGAAAACAAACCCAAGCUUUCUCUGACUUCAGCAGCAGCAACGAGCAACUCAAAACAGCUCAAGUGUGAACGAAAGCCGGAAAAUUAAUUGACACAGAGGAGUAAUGGGAAAUCCAAUCUGAAAAUGAAGUGGUUUUAAUUAAGAGACACUCUCCAGAAUUAUACAGAAAGACACUCUUUCCCAUUUAAAAUUUGGCUCUUCCUUCCUCAACAAGCACAAAUCACCGGUCUAUAAUUAGCACUGUUGUGGAAGGAGUGGCUGAGAGUCUGGCUGGAGUCAGGCCGGGACUGUGGCAGGGAGGGCAGUCACUGUGCUGCAACGCUUCCAGCUAGUUUGCCACUUAGCAUCCAGCUUCUUACAAGUGUUUUUGUUAUAAUCUGUUAAUGCUAUAAUAUUUGUUAAAAAUGAAAACAAAGUAAGGAGGGACGGUGCCUCAAUUCCCAGAAUCUGAGAGCAGCAGCACGACUCCCUGGCACGGUGAUUGUCAGCUUACCUGUGAGCGAGUCCAGCUCCAAUCCCAUGCCAAGACCUAAUCCAACACUUUAUGUAAUGAUUAUUUAAUAAAAAUUGCAUAAAUGCUCACU